rnacentral:rRNA from 1 species
ACUUCUAGUCGUGAGGAAGGUAGUGUAGUUAAUAGCUGCAUUAUUUGACGUUAGCGACAGAAGAAGCACCGGCUAACUCCGUGCCAGCAGCCGCGGUAAUACGGAGGGUGCGAGCGUUAAUCGGAAUUACUGGGCGUAAAGCGCAUGCAGGUGGUUUGUUAAGUCAGAUGUGAAAGACCCGGGGCGUCAACCUCGGAAUUGCAUUUGAAACUGGCAGACUAGAGUACUGUAGAGGGGGGUAGGAAGUUUCUAGGUGUAGCGGUGAAAUAGCGUAGAGAUCUGAAGGAAUACCGGUGGCGAAGGCGGCCCCCUCGGACAGAUACUGACACUCAGAUGCGAAAGCGUGGGGAGCAAACAGGAUUAGAUACCCUGGUAG